rnacentral:rRNA from 1 species
AUGGCUCAGAUUGAACGCUGGCGGCGUGCUUAACACAUGCAAGUCGCGCGUGAAAGGACUUCGGUCCGAGUAAAGCGGCGCACGGGUGAGUAACGCGUGGAUGAUCUACCCAUGAGUUAGGAAUAACGGCUGGAAACGGUCGCUAAUACCAAAUACGCUCCGAUUUCAACUUCGGGGGGAAAGGUGGCCUCUGCUUGCAAGCUACUGCUCAUGGAUGAGUCCGCGUCCCAUUAGCUAGUUGGUGGGGUAACGGCCCACCAAGGCGACGAUGGGUAGCCGGUCUGAGAGGAUGACCGGCCACACUGGGACUGGAACACGGCCCAGACUCCUACGGGAGGCAGCAGUGGGGAAUAUUGCGCAAUGGGCGAAAGCCUGACGCAGCGACGCCGCGUGAGGGAUGAAAGGUCCUCGGAUCGUAAACCUCUGUCAGGAGGGAAGAACCGCCACGGUGCUAAUCAGCCGUGGUCUGACGGUACCUCCAAAGGAAGCACCGGCUAACUCCGUGCCAGCAGCAGC